rnacentral:rRNA from 1 species
UACAGAGGUCUCAAGCGUUGUUCGGAUUCAUUGGGCGUAAAGGGUGCGUAGGCGGCGCGGUAAGUCGGGUGUGAAAUCUCGGGGCUUAACUCCGAAACUGCAUUCGAUACUGCCGUGCUUGAGGACUGGAGAGGAGACUGGAAUUUACGGUGUAGCGGUGAAAUGCGUAGAUAUCGUAAGGAAGACCAGUGGCGAAGGCGGGUCUCUGGACAGUUCCUGACGCUGAGGUGCGAAAGCGUGGGGAGCAAACGGG